rnacentral:lncRNA from 1 species
AAGUGAUAAGAGAAUAUGCUCAUGAAAAGUUAUUGACCUGAAUGUUCGUCUGGAGGAUCAGACUGUUGCUAUGGAUAUUUUUAUCCAGAUCUCUUAAAGAAAACUUGUGUAAUCAUGUUUUGUGUGUUUCUCUAUCCACCUGUCUUUUGCCUUUCCCAAAACCUUUGAAUCUUUUGACAUAAACCUGGUACUUACUCUUGAGGUCAUACAAUGAAGCUUCUUAAUGUAGCGUGUGACUCAUAAAAUAAUUGCAAUUUAAGAAAAAAACACAUUCUUUUGUGCAAGAUGCAAAGCAGAACAUGGAAGAAAGUGCCAAAAAUGGGGGCUUCCAGCUUGGUGUUACAUGAUAACUGCUCGUGUGUACAUCUCCAGAUCAAGGGAACAGCAAUUGGGCGAAGAAGGGGAAAGUGACCUCACAUGCCCUGUAAGGAAGAGCAUUCAGGGAGAAAGAAAACAGCCAGUGAAAAUGAAAUGAGCUUCUCAGAAGUAAAAUCUAGUUAAAUAAAGGAACUGACAGUGAAACCAAUGUACCCUCAGCUCAAAGACACUACAGAGAAUGAAGGGAAGAAUUAUUAAGAACCAGUAUAAAAGCAAGAGACUCUGUGGUGCCAGGAUGGCAGAGGAAUAAAGCAAGAUUGUCCUACAUGAUAUCAGAAUUAUUUCAAAUGCUUCUGUAUGAGUCUGUCUGGAUUAAGAAGCGUUCACACAUGUGUUUAGAUGGAAUAUGAAGCACAGACCCAAGCACCGGGACUUCCUCUCCAAUACAGAAGAGUACAGAGACAGGGAAAGGAAACUCUUCCUGCCUUCAAUCACAGAGGUGGUGGGACACCAGCCAGCUGCAGGCAGAUGACUUCUUAUUUUGCAUUAGAUUCCAACCUUUUUGGAAGCCAGCAAUUUGUGGAAUCGGUGGAGAACAAGCACUUCCUCCUGAAUGCCCUCCUUGCUCAGCUGAACCGUAGACUCCAGCGUCUCCAGUUUUACAGAAAUUUACAGGAAUUUUCUCCUGCUCUUCAGCUGACAUUCAUUUUGAUGAGGAUUCCAUGGGAAUACUGGAUUGGCUGAAGAGAUUUUCACUGUACUGCCUUCCAGCACGUUACCUUUCUCCUCUAGGCUAUAGUUCAGCUGAUGUACAGCCAACCAGAGCCUUCUGUUUUUGCAAACCAUUUAAAAAAAAAACUCAAAAUUAUGUUAAAAAUACACAACAACUGGAUUUCCUUGGCUCCUCUUUCUCCUUGUUCCUUGAUAACAUCAAUAUUUCUCUCUCAUUUGCCGAUAACAGCACUCAGAGUUUCAAACACAUCUCACCUCUGGUUCUAAUUCACUGUUGAAAUAUGAGAGAAAUCUGUCUGUUAAAGAAAAGCAAGAAAGAAAUAAAAAACAGCACCUUGGAGUUUAU